rnacentral:tRNA from 1 species
ACUCCUGUAUGCGCAAUGGAUAGCGCGUUGGACUUCUAAUCCAAAGGUCGUGGGUUCGAAUUCUAUCUGGGAUG